AUUGAACGCUGGCGGCAGGCCUAACACAUGUAAGUCGAGCGAGCGGCGGACGGGUGAGUAAUGCCUAGGAAUCUGCCUGGUAGUGGGGGAUAACGUCCGGAAACGGGCGCUAAUACCGCAUACCAUCAGAUGUGCCCAGAUGGGAUUAGCUAGUAGGUGGGGUAACGGCCCACCUAGGCGACGAUCCUUAGCUGGGCUGAGAGGAUGACCAGCCAAAUGGGACCUGUGACACGGUCCAGACGUCGACGGGAGGCAGCAGGGGGGAAUAUUGCACAAUGGGCGCAAGCCUGAUGCAGCCAUGCCGCGUGUGUGAAGAAGGCCUUCGGGUUGUAAAGCCCUUUCAGCGGGGAGGCGUUACCCGCAGAAGAAGCACCGGCUAACUCCGUGCCAGCAGCCGCGGUAAUAC
rnacentral:rRNA from 1 species